rnacentral:rRNA from 1 species
AGGACGAACGCUGGCGGCAUGCUUAACACAUGCAAGUCGAGCGGACAUCUUCGGAUGUUAGCGGCGAACGGGUGAGUAACACGUGGGCAACCUGCCCCUAGCUCUGGGAUAACUCCGGGAAACCGGGGCUAAUACUGGAUAUGACCGAUCCAUGCAUGUGGGUUGGUGGAAAGUUUUUCGGCUAGGGAUGGGCCCGCGGCCUAUCAGCUUGUUGGUGGGGUGAUGGCCUACCAAGGCGACGACGGGUA